AGCAGCCGCGGUAAUUCCAGCUCCAAUAGCGUAUAUUAAAGUUGUUGCAGUUAAAAAGCUCGUAGUUGAAUUUCGGGAUUGACACAUCGGUCGUGCCUUAAGGGGUAUGAACUGGUGUAGUCAAUUUCUCACCUUCUGGAGAACCGCGAUGCCCUUAAUUGGGUGUCGCGGGGAACCAGGACCUUUACUUUGAAAAAAUUAGAGUGUUUAAAGCAGGCAUUUUGCUUGAAUACAUUAGCAUGGAAUAAUAAAAUAGGACGGCAUGAUUCUAUUUUGUUGGUUUCUAGGAUCACCGUAAUGAUUAAUAGGGAUAGUUGGGGGCAUUAGUAUUCAAUUGUCAGAGGUGAAAUUCUUGGAUUUAUUGAAGACUAACUACUGCGAAAGCAUUUGCCAAGGAUGUUUUCAUUAAUCAAGAACGAAAGUUAGGGGAUCGAAGACGAUCAGAUACCGUCGUAGUCUUAACCAUAAACUAUGCCGACUAGGAAUCAGACGAUGUUAAUUUUUAAUGUACUC
rnacentral:rRNA from 1 species